AUUGAACGCUGGCGGCAUGCCUUACACAUGCAAGUCGAACGGCAGCACGGGAGCAAUCCUGGUGCGAGUGGCGAACGGGUGAGUAAUAUAUCGGAACGUGUCCAGUCGUGGGGGAUAACGCAGCGAAAGCUGUGCUAAUACCGCAUACGAUCUACGGAUGAAAGCGGGGGAUCGUAAGACCUCGCGCGAUUGGAGCGGCCGAUAUCAGAUUAGCUAGUUGGUGGGGUAAAGGCCCACCAAGGCGACGAUCUGUAGCUGGUCUGAGAGGACGACCAGCCACACUGGAAAUGAGACACGGUCCAGACUCCUACGGGAGGCAGCAGUGGGGAAUUUUGGACAAUGGGCGCAAGCCUGAUCCAGCAAUGCCGCGUGCAGGAUGAAGGCCUUCGGGUUGUAAACUGCUUUUGUACGGAACGAAACGGCCCUUUCUAAUACAGGGGGCUAAUGACGGUACCGUAAGAAUAAGCACCGGCUAACUACGUGCCAGCCGCCGCCGCAGUAA
rnacentral:rRNA from 1 species